rnacentral:rRNA from 1 species
UACGUAGGUGGCAAGCGUUAUCCGGAUUUACUGGGUGUAAAGGGCGUGUAGGCGGGACUGCAAGUCAGAUGUGAAAAUUAUGGGCUCAACCCAUAACCUGCAUUUGAGACUGUAGUUCUUGAGUGAUGGAGAGGCAGGCGGAAUUCCGUGUGUAGCGGUGAAAUGCGUAGAUAUACGGAGGAACACCAGUGGCGAAGGCGGCCUGCUGGACAUUAACUGACGCUGAGGCGCGAAAGCGUGGGGAGCAAACAGG